rnacentral:rRNA from 1 species
GAUCCCAUCAGAACUCCGAAGUUAAGCGUGCUUGGGCGAGAGUAGUACUAGGAUGGGUGACCUCCUUGGAAGUCCUCGUGUUGCACCC